UACGGGGGGGGCUAGCGUUGUUCGGAAUUACUGGGCGUAAAGGGCGCGUAGGCGGCCUACUAAGUCGGACGUGAAAUCCCUCGGCUCAACCGGGGAACUGCGUCCGAUACUGGUGGGCUCGAAUCCGGGAGAGGGAUGUGGAAUUCCAGGUGUAGCGGUGAAAUGCGUAGAUAUCAGGAGGAACACCAAUGGCGAAGGCAGCUCGCUGGGACGUGACUGACGCUGAGACGCGAAAGCGUGGGGAGCAAACAGG
rnacentral:rRNA from 1 species